rnacentral:rRNA from 1 species
AAUCAAGUUGUACUAAGAGCAUAUAAUGGAUGCCUUGACACUUUGUUCCGAUGAAGGACGUGGAAAACUGCGAUAAGCUUCGGUGAGCCGUUAUACAGGCUUUGACCCGGAGAUUUCCGAAUGGGUGAACCCCGUCGAUGUUAUGAUCGGCGACCCUCAACUGAAUUCAUAGGUUGAGGAGAGGAUACUCAGCGAACUGAAACAUCUUAGUAGCUGAGGAAAAGAAAUCAAAUGAGAUUCCCUUAGUAGUGGCGAGCGAACAGGGAAAAGCCCAAACCCGCUUUAAGCGGGGGUUGUAGGACUCUAACAUAGACUUUACUUUGAUAACCAAAGGACCCUGGAAAGGGCCGCCAUAGAGGGUGAUAGCCCCGUCGGUGAAAUCAAAUUAAACUCUUAAGAUGUUCCUGAGUAGGGUCGGACACGUGAAAUCCGGCUUGAAUCUGGGAGGACCACCUUCCAAGGCUAAACAGACAAAGUGAUCGAUAGCGGACUAGUACCGUGAGGGAAAGGUGAAAAGUACCCCGGGUAGGGGGAUGAAAUAGUAUCUGAAAUUAUAUGCUUACAAAGAGUCGGAGCCCGUCUUUGGCGGGUGACGGCGUGCUUUUUGUAGAACGAGCCAACGAGUUAGCUGUAUCUGGCAAGGUUAAGGAGUUUUAUCCGGAGCCGUAGCGAAAGCGAGUGCGAAUAGCGCGUUCUAGUGACUACUUUCUGAUCACCACUCUUAGAUAGAUUCAAGAUUACAAGAUUAAUUUUGAAUUUUAAAUCUUCAAUAAAUUUAUAUAUAGCAUUUAAACGAAUUAUUAUGACUUACAAAGAUCUUAACGUAUACCAACGGGCACACAGAGUGGCCAUCGAUUUACAUCUUUUUUUAAAUCAAUCGGCGGUCGAGUCGAUCCAUGCGGAUCAGGCCGAUUCGCUUAAGGCUUGUGCAAGGGGUAUUUUAGCCCACAUUGCCGAGCACUUUCAUCAGCGUUCCACCAAGGCAAAACGAUUCUUCCUGUAUCAGGCAAUCGAAUCCUGCCGACGUUUGCUGAUGGAUAUUGAGUUUUUAUCCGACUUACAUCUGAUUCCCCAAGAACAAUCUCAACAUUUUCUUGCGGAAUAUGAUAUUUGUCUAAGACAACUCUUUAAAUUUCAUCGGUCGUUUACCGACCCCAAAGGAGCUGAGCCGGAAGGUUCAGUAGCCUCGAAAGCAUUAACUGCCUCAGCAGCUUAAUCUUUCUCAUAAAGAUGUUGGUGAUUGGAAAGUAGUUACUAGAGUAGUCAGGUGCACUAGACCCGAAACUGGGUGAGCUAUCCAUGGGCAGGUUGAAGCGCGUGUAAAAGUGCGUGGAGGACCGAACCCACUAGAGUUGCAAGUCUAGGGGAUGACCUGUGGAUAGGGGUGAAAUGCUAAUCGAACUCAGAGAUAGCUGGUUCUCCUCGAAAUAGCUUUAGGGCUAGCCUCGAGUCAAUGAGCGAUGGGGGUAGAGCACUGUCAAGGCUAGGGGGCGAAAUAAGUCUACCAAACCUUAACAAACUUCGAAUACCAUCGUUUCUUACCUCGGGAGUCAGACUGUGACAGCUAAGUGCCAUAGUCAAAAGGGAAACAGCCCAGAUCGUCUGCUAAGGUCCCUAAUAUAAGUUAAGUGGUAAAGGAUGUGAGAUGUCACAGACAACCAGGAUGUUGGCUUAGAAGCAGCCAUUCAUUUAAAGAGUGCGUAAUAGCUCACUGGUCUAUCCGCCUUUGGCGGAUGUUUUGCGCCUAAAAUCUAACGGGGCUCAAACUUAUAACCGAAGCAACGAAUUUUCAGCUUUAGGCUGAAAGUGGUAGAGGAGCGUUCCUGUCUGCGUUGAAGUCAGACCGUAACGUCUGGUGGAGCGUCAGGAAGUGAAAAUGUUGGCAUGAGUAACCAUAAUGCCGGUGAAAAACCGGCACACCGAAAACCCGAGGUUUCCCACGCAACGUUAAUCGGCGUGGGGUUAGUCGGUCCUAAGGCGAGGCUGAAAAGCGUAGUCGAUGGACAACAGAUUAAUAUUCCUGUACCGAUUGGGUUCCGCCCAAACAAAUCAUAGUGAAUGCCAGCUUGCAUACUUCUGCCUUCGGGUAGAAUAUGUACUUUGGACUAGUUAUGAGGCGUUAGCAAUGGAGUGACGCGGCGUGGUAAUUUGAGCCUGCCUAUUGAACAUGGUGGGUGCAAGCGAUUAGAGUCAUAUCGAUAUAGGCAAAUCCGUAUCGAUUCGUACUUGAGGCGUUACGCAAAAUGUUCCGAGCAAUCGGAAUGAUUCAAAUGAUCCAUGCUGACUAGAAAACCUUCUAGCGAGGAACCUAAUUGACCGUACCGCAAACCAACUCCGGUGGGUGGGAUGAGUAUUCCUAGGUGAUCGAGAAAACUAGUGUUAAGGAACUCGGCAAAACAGCGUCCGUAACUUCGGGAUAAGGACUUCCUGCCUCACGGCAGGACGCAGCGAAAGACUCCAGGCAACUGUUUACCAAAAACACAGGUCUCUGCUAAAGCGCAAGCUGAUGUAUAGGGGCUGAUGCCUGCCCAGUGCCAGAAGGUUAAGAGGAGAGGUUCACGCUUUGAAUCGAAGCCCUGGUGAACGGCGGCCGUAACUAUAACGGUCCUAAGGUAGCGAAAUUCCUUGUCGGGUAAGUUCCGACCCGCACGAAUGGUAUAAUGGUCUGGAGACUGUCUCAACACUAGACUCGGUGAAAUUGCAGAAUCGGUAAAAAUGCCGAUUAACUACGGCAAGACGAAAAGACCCUAUGAAGCUUUACUAUAGUUUGACAUUGAAUCGGGAUUUAUUUUGUGUAGGAUAGGUGGGAGACUUUGAAGCUUCGACGCUAGUCGAAGUGGAGUCAACCUUGAAAUACCACCCUAAAUACGUUUUGAUUCUAACCUGUGCCAUUAUCUGGCAUGGAGACAGUGUUUGAUGGGUAGUUUAACUGGGGCGGUUGCCUCCUAAAUUGUAACGGAGGCGCGCAAUGGUCCGCUAGGCCUGGAUGGAAAUCAGGCUGAUAGUGUAUUCGCAUAAGCGGGCUUGACUGUAAGAGUUACAACUCGAGCAGGUGCGAAAGCAGGUGAAAGUGAUCCGGCACCUUGUUCCGAUUUUUUAUCGGUACGACCACGUGGGUGGGGUGUCGCUCAACGGAUAAAAGUUACUCUAGGGAUAACAGGCUUAUAGUGCCCAAGCGCCCACAGCGACGGCACUGUUUGGCACCUCGAUGUCGGCUCAUCGCAUCCUGGGGGUGGAGAAGCUCCCAAGGGUAUGGCUGUUCGCCAUUUAAAGCGGUACGCGAGCUGGGUUCAGAACGUCGUGAGACAGUUUGGCCUCUAUCUGUCGUAGUCGAAGGAAAAUUGAGAGACUCUGCUCCUAGUACGAGAGGACCGGAGUGGACUAACCUCUGGUGUACCAGUUGUCGUGUCAACGGCAUUGCUGGGUAGCUAUGUUGGGUUGUGAUAACCGCUGAAAGCAUCUAAGCGGGAAGCCAUUCUCAAGACAAUUUUCCCUAUAGGUCCGAGGAAGACUACCUCGUUGAUAGGUAUCAAGUGUACGUGCAGCAAUGCAUUCAGCUGAGAUAUACUAAUGACCAAUUGACUUUUUUAU